UUCCCACAUCCAAGGAAGGCAGCAGGCGCGCAAAUUACCCAUUCCCGACGCGGGGAGGUAGUGACGAAAAAUAACAAUGCAGGACUCGUUCGAGGCCCUGUAAUUGGAAUGAGUACACUUUAAAAGCUUUAACGAGUAUCCAUUGGAGGGCAAGUCUGGUGCCAGCAGCCGCGGUAAUUCCAGCUCCAAAAGUAUAUAUUUAAGUUGUUGCGGUUAAAAAGCUCGUAGUUGGAUUUUGGGCGCAGGCGGCCGGUCCGUCGCAAGGCGUGUACUGGACGUCCUGGCCAUCCCUCCGGUUCUCCGCCGGUGCUCUUGACUGAGUGUCGGCGGCGGCCGGAACGUUUACUUUGAAAAAAUUAGAGUGUUCAAAGCAGGCUCUCGAGCCUGGAUAAUGGUGCAUGGAAUAAUGGAAUAGGACCUCGGUUCUAUUUUGUUGGUUUUCGGAGCGCGAGGUAAUGAUUAAGAGGGACAGACGGGGGCAUUCGUACUGUGCCGUUAGAGGUGAAAUUCUUGGAUCGGCGCAAGACGAACGACUGCGAAAGCAUUUGCCAAGAAUGUUUUCUUUAAUCAAGAGCGAAAGUCAGAGGUUCGAAGACGAUCAGAUACCGUCCUAGUUCUGACUAUAAACGAUGCCAACUAGCGAUCGGGGGGCGUUACAUUGACGACCCCUCCGGCAGCUUACGGGAAACCAAAGUCUUUGGGUUCCGGGGGAAGUAUGGUUGCAAAGCUGAAACUUAAAGGAAUUGACGGAAGGGCACCACCAGGAGUGGAGCCUGCGGCUUAAUUUGACUCAACACGGGAAAUAG
rnacentral:ncRNA from 1 species